rnacentral:tRNA from 5 species
GCGGAACUGGCGGAAUUGGCAGACGCGCAUGAUUCAGGUUCAUGUGCCGAAAGGCUUCCGGGUUCAAGUCCCGGGUUCCGCAUCA